rnacentral:rRNA from 1 species
UACGUAGGGUGCGAGCGUUAAUCGGAAUUACUGGGCGUAAAGUGUGCGCAGGCGGCCGCGCAAGUCGAGUGUGAAAGCCCCGAGCUUAACUUGGGAAUUGCGCUCGAAACUACGUGGCUGGAGUGUGGCAGAGGAAGGUGGAAUUCCACGUGUAGCGGUGAAAUGCGUAGAGAUGUGGAGGAACACCAAUGGCGAAGGCAGCCUUCUGGGCCAACACUGACGCUCAUGCACGAAAGCGUGGGGAGCAAACAGG